rnacentral:rRNA from 1 species
AGAGUUUGAUCCUGGCUCAGAUUGAACGCUGGCGGCAGGCCUAACACAUGCAAGUCGAGCGGAUGAAGGGAGCUUGCUCCUGGAUUCAGCGGCGGACGGGUGAGUAAUGCCUAGGAAUCUGCCUGGUAGUGGGGGACAACGUUUCGAAAGGAACGCUAAUACCGCAUACGUCCUACGGGAGAAAGCAGGGGACCUUCGGGCCUUGCGCUAUCAGAUGAGCCUAGGUCGGAUUAGCUAGUUGGUGAGGUAAUGGCUCACCAAGGCGACGAUCCGUAACUGGUCUGAGAGGAUGAUCAGUCACACUGGAACUGAGACACGGUCCAGACUCCUACGGGAGGCAGCAGUGGGGAAUAUUGGACAAUGGGCGAAAGCCUGAUCCAGCCAUGCCGCGUGUGUGAAGAAGGUCUUCGGAUUGUAAAGCACUUUAAGUUGGGAGGAAGGGUUGUAGAUUAAUACUCUGCAAUUUUGACGUUACCGACAGAAUAAGCACCGGCUAACUCUGUGCCAGCAGCCGCGGUAAUACAGAGGGUGCAAGCGUUAAUCGGAAUUACUGGGCGUAAAGCGCGCGUAGGUGGUUCGUUAAGUUGGAUGUGAAAUCCCCGGGCUCAACCUGGGAACUGCAUCCAAAACUGGCGAGCUAGAGUAUGGUAGAGGGUGGUGGAAUUUCCUGUGUAGCGGUGAAAUGCGUAGAUAUAGGAAGGAACACCAGUGGCGAAGGCGACCACCUGGACUGAUACUGACACUGAGGUGCGAAAGCGUGGGGAGCAAACAGGAUUAGAUACCCUGGUAGUCCACGCCGUAACGAUGUCAACUAGCCGUUGGGAGCCUUGAGCUCUUAGUGCGCAGCUAACGCAUUAAGUUGACCGCCU